CCUACGGGUGGCAGCAGUGGGGAAUAUUGCACAAUGGGGGAAACCCUGAUGCAGCGACGCCGCGUGAGCGAUGAAGUAUUUCGGUAUGGAAAGCUCUAUCAGCAGGGCAGAAAAUGACGGUACCUGACUAAGAAGCACCAGCUAACUACGGGCCAGCAGCCGCGGUAAUACGUAGGGCGCAAGCGUUAUCCGGAAUGACUGGGUGGAAAGGGAGCGUAGACGGCGAUGCAAGCCAGAUGUGAAAGCACGGGGCUCCACCCCCGGACUGCAUUUGGAACUGGAUAGCUGGAGUGUCGGAGAGGCAGGCGGAAUUCCUAGUGUAGCGGUGAAAUGCGUAGAUAUUAGGAAGAACACCAGUGGCGAAGGCGGCCUGCUGGCCGAUGACUGACGUUGAGGCUCGAAAGCGUGGGGAGCAAACAGGAUUAGAUACCCUAGUAGUC
rnacentral:rRNA from 1 species